UAAAAUUAAUGGUAAUUGUGACAACAUGCAUUAGCACAGCUACCGUACGUACAAAUAUAGCUAUGCCAUCAGUUAUAAGUCCAGAGCUAUAAGACUUGUAGUUAUACUUCGUGAUUUAUAAGACUGCAAACAACUUUGGACGACUUAGAGUUAAAACAGCUAUAUACUUAUAGUAAUCAACAGGAAACAAAGGCUUAAAAUGGCUGAAGAAGCGAGUGUUACAAGCCUCACUGCUGUGGAAACAGGGAUCACACCGAGCGCUGAUGAGAAUAUAGACGAGGAGGAGAUAAUACUUGAGGCAGAGUGCCAUAAAUACAACGUUUGCUGUCAAAUCACAUUGAUAUUUGUAAGAUUAAUGGCCUUAGCGCUAGCCUCAGUGAUUUUCUUCCCUUUGUUCAUCAUUAUCUGCUGUGCAACAGUGAAAAAAUGGCGGCUAUAUCUAACAAAAAGAGGUGUCUACCACAUAAGGCCAGGUAGUUUGGGCUGCUGUGUUGACGACUGGUUUAUUCCUAUUGAAGACAUCCAGGACAUCCAUGUGCGAACUUGGGCCAAAAACACACUUGUAAUAAAAGUUGGACCUGAGAAAUUAAAAGAGUAUAUAAACUGGUGUUAUUGCCCAGUGUUUUACGGUGCUGACAGUCUGAUUGUGAACCAUGUCAAGAACGCAGAAGAAUUUGCUGAAGCUGUCAAAAGAGAGAAGACAAACACUCGUCAAUGAGCAAGAAUUGGGAAAAACAGCAUAAUUAGAAAUACAUGAUUAUAGUCAGAUAGUAAAAACAGUGGUACAUUUAGGCAUGCUGUCCCCUAUAGGGAGGACCUCGCUACUUAGAGAGUCUGUUAGAGGUUUCACUGUUUAGUAUAGAGAGAGACACAAAUUCAUUUAGUAUUUCAAUUAUUAGAACAUAUGCAUGAACUCCGAACUCAGUCAUGACUUGUACUGUACUAUUAUUAAAAAUAAAGUCUGGUCAGUUCUA